rnacentral:rRNA from 1 species
AUUAGAUACCCUAUUAUUUAAAAUGUUAAUUUAAAUACUGAAUUAGUAUUAGUUAAGUUCUUGAAAAUUAAAAAAUUUGGCGGUAUUUUAGUCUUUUCAGAGGAACCUGUCCUAUAAUUGAUAGUUCACGAUAUAGAUUACUUUAUUUUUUAAUUUAUAUAUCGUCGUGGUUUAAAUAUUUUAUUAGAAAGAAAAUAUUUAGGAUUUAAUACUAUAAAAAAUGUCAGAUCAAGGUGUAAUUUAUAAUGAAGUAGAGAUGGGUUACAUUAAAUUUAUUUAGGGAAUAUUAUUAGGAUAAUAAUAAGAAUAUGGAUUUGAAAGUAAUUUUAUUAAGUUAAGUAAGAUGAUUGAAGCUCUAAAAUAUGCAC